AGGGUUCGAUUCUGGCUCAGAACGUACGCUGGCGGCACGCCUAACACAUGCAAGUCGAACGAAGUAGCAAUACUUAGUGGCAGACGGGUGAGUAACAUGUAGGUAUCUGCCCUUUGGCCUGGAAUAACACGAGGAAACUUGUGCUAAUACCGGAUAAGUCUUUACAGAGAAAGCUUUAUGCACCAUUGGAUGAGCCUGCACUUGAUUAGUUUGUUGGUGGGGUAAUGGCCUACCAAGACUGUGAUCAAUAGCUGAUUUGAGAGGAUGAUCAGCCACAUUGGGACUGAGACACGGCCCAAACUCCUACGGGAGGCAGCAGUGGGGAAUCUUGCACAAUGGAGGAAACUCUGAUGCAGCGAUGCCGCGUGAGUGAAGAAGGCCCUUGGGUUGUAAAGCUCUUUCGUCGGGGAAGAAAAUGACUGUACCCGAAUAAGAAGGUCCGGCUAACUUCGUGCCAGCCGCCGCGGUAAUAC
rnacentral:rRNA from 1 species